UUGACCUCGGAUCAGGUAGGAAUACCCGCUGAACUUAAGCAUAUCAAUAAGGCGGAGGAAUUCUUUUCUGAUCCAUUUGAAUCUUACCCAAUUGGGCCCCUCGAGGGGAAAGCACCGGGGGGGGUCAAACCCGGACAAGGGCGCCCCGAAAAGAACACAAAACUGUUCUUAUAAUCCCCUUGGGGAAGAGUUUACUUUAACAUCUGAGAAAAAUUUAAAUGAAUAAAAAAAUUUAAAAACGAAACCUUGGUGCUGGGUACAAAAAAAAGCAACCAAAUUGUAAAAAAUGGGGAAUUAUGAAAAUUCACUGAAAUAUGAACAUUAAAAAAGACAUAGAGGCCGCCGCCCAAUUGUGGGGGGGGAAGCUCGUCCCCAAAAGUCUUUUCCACCCUCCCAACCCCCCCCCGGGGGCUCCGCUGUGGGAGAACGGGAACACACCGAGAAAAUGGCGCCCCGCCACCCCAAAAGAACGGGGGGGGGUGUCCUCGCCCCACGUCCUUACACCAUU
rnacentral:rRNA from 1 species